rnacentral:sRNA from 1 species
GCUGGAUGUUGUAGCAUGUGCCUGUGGUCCCAGCUUCUUGGGAGGCUGAGGCAGGAGAAUCACUUGAACCCAGGAGUUUGGGGCCAACCUGGGCAACACAGGGAGACAAUGUCUCUU